GCGGAGGAAAAGAAACCAACAGGGAUUGCCCUAGUAACGGCGAGUGAAGCGGCAUCAGCUCAAAUUUGAAAUCUGGCUCUUUUAGAGUCCGAGUUGUAAUUUGCAGAGGGCGCUUUGGCGUUGGCAGCGGUCCAAGUUCCUUGGAACAGGACGUCACAGAGGGUGAGAAUCCCGUACGUGGUCGCUAGCCUUCGCCGUGUAAAGCCCCUUCGACGAGUCGAGUUGUUUGGGAAUGCAGCUCUAAAUGGGAGGUAAAUUUCUUCUAAAGCUAAAUACUGGCCAGAGACCGAUAGCGCACAAGUAGAGUGAUCGAAAGAUGAAAAGCACUUUGGAAAGAGAGUCAAAUAGCACGUGAAAUUGUUGAAAGGGAAGCGCUUGCAGCCAGACUUGCCUGUAGUUGCUCAUCCGGGCUCUUGCCCGGUGCACUCUUCUGCGGGCAGGCCAGCAUCAGUCUAGGCGGUUGGAUAAAGGCCUCUGUCAUGUACCUCCUUUCGGGGAGGCCUUAUAGGGGAGGCGUCAUGCAACCAGCCUGGACUGAGGUCCGCGCAUCUGCUAGGAUGCUGGCGUAAUGGUUGUAAGCGGCCCGUCUUGAAACACGGACCAAGGAGUCUAACAUCUAUGCCGAGUGUUUGGGUGUCAAGCCCGAGCGCGUAAUGAAAGUGAACGGAGGUGGGAUCCCCUUCUGGGGUGCACCAUCGACCGAUCCUGAUGUCUUCGGAUGGAUUUGAGUAAGAGCAUGGCUGUUGGGACCCGAAAGAUGGUGAACUAUGCUUGAAUAGGGUGAAGCCAGAGGAAACUCUGGUGGAGGCUCGCAGCGGUUCUGACGUGCAAAUCGAUCGUCAAAUUUGGGCAUAGGGGCGAAAGACUAAUCGAACUAUCUAGUAGCUGGUUCUG
rnacentral:sRNA from 1 species